rnacentral:rRNA from 1 species
AUGAACGCUAGCUACAGGCUUAACACAUGCAAGUCGAGGGGCAGCAUGAACUUAGCUUGCUAAGUUUGAUGGCGACCGGCGCACGGGUGAGUAACACGUAUCCAACCUGCCGAUGACUCGGGGAUAGCCUUUCGAAAGAAAGAUUAAUACCCGAUGGCAUAGUUCUUCCGCAUGGUGGAACUAUUAAAGGAUUUCGGUCAUCGAUGGGGAUGCGUUCCAUUAGGUUGUUGGCGGGGUAACGGCCCACCAAGCCUUCGAUGGAUAGGGGUUCUGAGAGGAAGGUCCCCCACAUUGGAACUGAGACACGGUCCAAACUCCUACGGGAGGCAGCAGUGAGGAAUAUUGGUCAAUGGACGAGAGUCUGAACCAGCCAAGUAGCGUGAAGGAUGACUGCCCUAUGGGUUGUAAACUUCUUUUAUACGGGAAUAAAGUGAGGCACGUGUGCCUUUUUGUAUGUACCGUAUGAAUAAGGAUCGGCUAACUCCGUGCCAGCAGCCGCGGUAAUACGGAGGAUCCGAGCGUUAUCCGGAUUUAUUGGGUUUAAAGGGAGCGUAGGCGGACGCUUAAGUCAGUUGUGAAAGUUUGCGGCUCAACCGUAAAAUUGCAGUUGAUACUGGGUGUCUUGAGUACAGUAGAGGCAGGCGGAAUUCGUGGUGUAGCGGUGAAAUGCUUAGAUAUCACGAAGAACUCCGAUUGCGAAGGCAGCCUGCUGGACUGUAACUGACGCUGAUGCUCGAAAGUGUGGGUAUCAAACAGGAUUAGAUACCCUGGUAGUCCACACAGUAAACGAUGAAUACUCGCUGUUUGCGAUAUACAGUAAGCGGCCAAGCGAAAGCGUUAAGGAUUCCACCUGGGGAGUACGCCGGCAACGGUGAAACUCAAAGGAAUUGACGGGGGCCCGCACAAGCAGUGGAGUAUGUGGUUUAAUUCGACGCAACGCGAAGAACCUUACCAGGGCUUGACAUAUACAGGAAUAUAUAAGAGAUUAUAUAGCUCUUCGGAGACUGUAUACAGGUGGUGCAUGGUUGUCGUCAGCUCGUGCCGUGAGGUGUCGGCUUAAGUGCCAUAACGAGCGCAACCCUUAUCGAUAGUUACCAUCAGGUGAUGCUGGGGACUCUGUCGAGACUGCCGUCGUAAGAUGUGAGGAAGGUGGGGAUGACGUCAAAUCAGCACGGCCCUUACGUCCGGGGCUACACACGUGUUACAAUGGGGGGUACAGAAGGCAGCUACACGGCGACGUGAUGCUAAUCCCGAAAGCCUCUCUCAGUUCGGAUUGGAGUCUGCAACCCGACUCCAUGAAGCUGGAUUCGCUAGUAAUCGCGCAUCAGCCACGGCGCGGUGAAUACGUUCCCGGGCCUUGUACACACCGCCCGUCACACCAUGGGAGUCAGUAACGCCCGAAGUCAGUGACCCAACCGUAAGGAGGGAGCUGCCGAAGGUGGGACCGAUAACUGGGGUG